rnacentral:lncRNA from 1 species
GAGAGCUCAAACUCAGAUGGUGAAGGCCCUCCAGCCCCUGAGCCUGACUUCUGACCCUUGACCCAGGGCGAACGAGGGCCUCCAGGCAUAGAUGGUGACAAAGGACCUCGUGGAGAGAGUGGGAACCCUGGAGAGAAGGGCCCCAAAGGAGAGCCUGGUGACAAGGGUUCAGCCGGGUUGCUGGGAGCUCGUGGACUCACGGGACCCAAGGGUGAGCCUGGUGCCGCAGGGAUCCCAGGUGACCCGGGAUUCCCAGGAAAGGACGGAGCCCCUGGUGUCCGAGGAG